rnacentral:sRNA from 1 species
GAGCCCUAGAACAUCCACGGUAAUUCGC